GAUGAACGCUGGCGGCGUGCCUAAUACAUGCAAGUCGAGCGAACAGACGAGGAGCUUGCUCCUCUGACGUUAGCGGCGGACGGGUGAGUAACACGUGGAUAACCUACCUAUAAGACUGGGAUAACUUCGGGAAACCGGAGCUAAUACCGGAUAAUAUAUUGAACCGCAUGGUUCAAUAGUGAAAGACGGUUUUGCUGUCACUUAUAGAUGGAUCCGCGCCGCAUUAGCUAGUUGGUAAGGUAACGGCUUACCAAGGCAACGAUGCGUAGCCGACCUGAGAGGGUGAUCGGCGACACUGGAACGGAGACACGGUCCAGACUCCUACGGGAGGCAGCAGUAGGGAAUCUUCCGCAAUGGGCGAAAGCCUGACGGAGCAACGCCGCGUGAGUGAUGAAGGUCUUCGGAUCGUAAAACUCUGUUAUGAGGGAAGAACAAAUGUGUAAGUAACUAUGCACGUCUUGACGGUACCUAAUCAGAAAGCCACGGCUAACUACGUG
rnacentral:rRNA from 1 species